CACCGCGGCGGGGAGGGCGAAGGAGCCCCGGCCGCAGCGGCUCCUCCUCCUCCUCCUGGCGCUCCCCGGCCUCGCCCGCAGCGCCCCGAGCAGCCGGGACGGGCGGUGGCAGCGGCUCCCGAGCACCCGCGAUCUUUGCAAUGAGUUACCCAGGCUAUCCCCCAGCGGGUGGAUAUCCACCAGCAGCACCAGGUAGCAGUCCUUGGGGUGGUGCUGCCUACCCACCUUCAAAUCCACCUCCAAUUGGUCUGGAAAAUGUGUCUGGCUAUGCCAACCAGUUCAAUCCCAGCCAGAUGGCUGGAAUGGCAGCCAACCUGGCAGGGACCUUUGGAGGAAAUGCACCACAAGGCAUGUAUCCUUCAACACCUGGGGGUUAUCCACCAGUCCCUCCAGGUGGCUUUGGGCAACCUCCACCAGGACAGCAGCCCUCCUAUGGGGGGUAUCCACCAUCAGGAAUGCCAGCUUACCCAGGAUACCCAGGCCAGCCUGCACCACCGCCUGGUCAGCAACCUAUGAACUACCCAGGACAACCACCAGCAGCUUACCCAGGGCAGCAGCCCAUGCCAAAUUAUCCACCAGGUCCAGCUGUGAAUCCAUCUAUGCCCUCUUACUCAGGAACUACAGGGCCUGCAGUCUCUCCUGUAACACAUGGAAACCGAGGCACAAUCACUGAUGCACCGGGUUUUGACCCUCUGAAGGACGCAGAAGUCUUAAGGAAGGCCAUGAAGGGAUUAGGAACCGAUGAGCAAGCCAUUAUCGACUGCCUUGGAAGUCGUUCGAACAAGCAGCGGCAGCAGAUAAUGUUGUCCUUCAAAACAGCUUAUGGGAAGGAUUUGAUCAAGGAUCUCAAGUCUGAGCUAUCAGGUAACUUUGAGAAGACAAUCUUGGCAAUGAUGAAGACACCUGUCAUGUUUGAUGCUUAUGAAAUCAAGGAAGCUAUAAAGGGUGUUGGCACAGAUGAAAAUUGUCUCAUUGAAAUCUUAGCUUCUCGCAGUAACGAGCAUAUUCAGGAACUCAACAGGGUCUAUAAAGCAGAAUUUAAGAAAACGCUGGAGGAAGCAAUAAAAAGUGACACAUCUGGACACUUUCAGAGGCUUUUAGUUUCACUUUCUCAGGGAAACAGAGAUGAAAGUACAACUGUUGACAUGUCUCUUGUCCAGAGAGAUGUGCAGGAGUUGUAUGCAGCUGGAGAGAACCGUCUAGGAACUGAUGAAUCCAAGUUCAAUGCCAUUCUGUGUGCAAGAAGCAGGGCCCACCUCAGAGCAGUCUUCAAUGAGUACCAGAGGAUGUGCAACCGGGACAUUGAGAAAAGCAUAUGUCGCGAAAUGUCUGGAGACCUGGAGAAGGGCAUGCUGGCUGUGGCUUUCUGGAUUGUACAACUGUUAAGUGUCUCAAGAACACACCAGCUUUUUUUGCAGAGAGAUUACAGAAAGCUAUGAAGGGAGCAGGGACAAAAGACAGGACUCUGAUCCGAAUCAUGGUGUCGCGCAGCGAGGUUGACCUGCUGGACAUACGUGCAGAAUACAAGCGGAUGUACGGCAGGUCUCUCUACACAGAUAUCACUGGUGAUACUUCAGGAGACUACCGGAAAAUCCUACUCAAGUUGUGUGGUGGAAAUGACUAAAUGGAGCAUUGAGCUUUUCUUAAAAAGCUUCUAUUUUCAUGUUUUUGCUGUAAAGCAUCUUUUUUUCUCCAAAAGUAAAUGUGUAAUGACCUGUUUCUUCUAAAGCAAUUGCAUUUUAAAAGAUAAUAUUGCAUAUAUCUUCAGUUCAAAAAUAGUAGGUAAUAAAUGCCAAAACCACCCAAAAUACCAAGCUUAUGUGCCAUCUGCUCAGGAUUCUGUAUAGCACUCUCAGCAAUCCGUGAAUGGCAGGUCAUUAUUUCUUUUCUGCUUAUAUCAUGCUGAAAUAAUGUUUGUUUUAUAAAACAAAAAUCACAGUUGUAUGAUUUAAGGUGUUGUUUUGUAUAAACAUUGCAUGCCAUUUUAAUGCAAGUUUUAUAUAUACGGUAUGCAGAGUUGGUUUCAGGCUGUCUGACUCCCUGAUAUGUGGAGAUAGCAGCUUGAGGUUUUGUGUCUAAUUAAGACACAAAAGAAGUUUUAAAGAAGUUUUGUCAAGUUCUGUUUUCUUUCCUUGAUUCUUUUCAAGGAAGAUGUGUUCCACAUUUCAUUCUUGCCAAGGCAACCUGUCACAAGGCAGUAGUAGUGUUUACAGCAGUAAGGAUUCUAUGGUUAAUGUUUAAAGGUUUUGCACUGUGCCUUAAAUAUAUGUAUGUAAGAAGAGAUUAUGAAAUUAAAGCUGUCUAAGUCUUUGCAGAUUA